GGUUUGCUUCUGGGCCUGCACCAGUCUCAAGCACCGCUUCAACUAUGACGACACGCUCGACGUGUUCGGCAUUCACGGCAUCGGCGGAUUGCUGGGAACGCUGAUGACCGGCGUGUUCGCCACCGCCGCCAUCGGCGGGNGACGGCCGGGCUGAUCGAGGGCAAUCCCAGGCUGCUGCUGACCCAGGCCUAUGGCGUGGCGGUGGNCUGGACCGGCGCGAUGACAUUCGUGCUGCUGAAGGUCGUCGACAUGCUGGCCGGUCUGCGGGUUCCGCACGAGCACGAGGUGGAAGGCCUCGACAUCACCCAGCACGGCGAAGCGCUCCAAUAAAUCGCCCCAUUUGGAUUCAGCCUCGGAUGUCGGGGCUUAGAUACCUUUUGCUUGUCUGAUGGGCACGAAUGUGUCGGCGGUCUGGUGUGCCUAUGUUUUUGGCACCC
rnacentral:misc_RNA from 1 species